rnacentral:rRNA from 1 species
GACGAACGCUGGCGGCGUGCUUAACACAUGCAAGUCGAACGGAAAGGCCCUGCUUUUGUGGGGUUCUCGAUUGGCGAACGGGUGAGUAACACGUGAGUAACCUGCCCUAGACUUUCGGAUAACUUCAGGAAACUGGGGCUAAUACCGGAUAGGAGCUCCUGCUGCAUGGAGGGGGUUGGAAAUUUUAGGCGGUUGGGGCUGGACUCGCGGCUUAUCAGCUUGUUGGUGGGGUAGUGGCCUACCCAGGCUUUGACGGGUAGCCGGCCUGAGAGGGUGACCGGCCACAAUGGGACUGAGAUACGGACCAGAGUCGUACGGGAGGCAGCAGGGGGGAGUCUUGCACAAUGGGCGGAAGCGUGAUGCAACAACGCCGCGUGCGGGAUGACGGCCUUUGGGUUGUAAACCGCUUUCGCCUGUGACGAAGCGUGAGUGACGGUACUGGGUAAAGAAGCACCGGCUAACUACGUG